rnacentral:sRNA from 1 species
AUGGCUGUCGUCAGCUCGUGUCGUGAGAUGUUGGGUUAAGUCCCGCAACGAGCGCAACCCUUGUCCUAUGUUGCCAGCGGGUAAUGCCGGGGACUCGUAGGAGACUGCCGGGGUCAACUCGGAGGAAGGUGGGGAUGACGUCAAGUCAUCAUGCCCCUUACGUCCAGGGCUGCACACAUGCUACAAUGGCCGGUACAAAGGGCUGCUAUUCCGCGAGGAUGAGCGAAUCCCAAAAAACCGGUCUCAGUUCGGAUUGCAGUCUGCAACUCGACUGCAUGAAGUCGGAGUCGCUAGUAAUCCCGGAUCAGCAACGCCGGGGUGAAUACGUUCCCGGGCCUUGUACACACCGCCCGUCACACCACGAAAGUCGGCAACACCCGAAGCCGGUGGCCCAACCCGUAAGGGAGGGAGCCGUCGAAGGUGGGGUCGGUGAUUGGGGUGAAGUCGUAACAAGGUAGCCGUACCGGAAGGUGCGGCUGGAUCACCUCCUUUCUAGGGAGUCACUGAUCAACUUCAUUUAGAAGUUGAAACUCCUAAGUCGAUCACUGGUUAGUCGGUGUCUUCUCGAGCUUGGAAUGUCGCAGGUAAACCCGAAAGGGUCCCCUCCAAGCCAAGUAAGAGAAGCUGCAAGACGUCUCUAUUCCGUUUUGAGGAAGCGGCCGCCCGUGGCUUUUUGCCAUGGGCCCCCGUUUCUGCGAAGCCGGCUAUGCCGGCCGCUCGCCGCGGGCGUUAAGCCCGCCGAGGCCCUUGAGAACUCUAUAGCGAGCACGAGCAUCUUUGUUCUCCAAGCUAUUUAAUGCCAACGGUGGAUGCCUUGGCGCCUGAAGCCGAUGAAGGACGUGGGUGGCUGCGAAAAGCCACGGGGAGCUGCCGACCAAGCUUCGAUCCGUGGAUGUCCGAAUGGGGAAACCCGG